ACCUGCAAAAGAUGGCCGAGGAGAAGCACCACCACCACCUCUUCCACCACCACAAGGAGGAGAAGCCCGCGGAGGAGGUGAUAUACUCCGAGACAGCCUACUCCGGCGGCGAUGACUACGCCUCCGGCUACACCGAGACUGUCGUCGCCGAGUCGGCUUCCGAUGAGUACGAGAAGUACAAGAAGGAAGAGAAGCAUCACAAGCACAAGGAGCACCUCGGCGAGAUGGGCGCUGUCGCCGCCGGUGCCUUUGCUCUGGUAAUUCGUCUUGAUCAUAGGUUUCGGUUCUGCUAAUGAUCACCUACAAACAAUUUAAGUUGACAUUAGAACACAUGGCGAUGCAACAGUACGAGAAGCACGAGGCGAAGAAGGACCCCGAUCACGCCCACAAGCACAAGAUCGAGGAGGAGAUCGCUGCGGCGGUGGCGGUUGGCAGCGGAGGCUAUGCCUUCCACGAGCACCAUGAGAAGAAGGACGCCAAGAACGAGGCGGAGGAAGCGAGCGGAAAGAAGCAUCACCACCACCUCUUUUAGGGGCUGCCCUCUUUGAUCGGCUUCCAUGUUGUGCACCAAAUAAGUUCAGGCUGGCUUGUCAUGAUGGCCUUGGCUGCUACAAUAAUUGGGUGCAUGUGUUAUGUGAAAUAGAUUUGUGUUGAGUGUGGGAUGCUUGGUACUUUUGUUUUUUUUUCUUUUAUCCUUGUAUCAAAAACCCUUAAAAAU
rnacentral:lncRNA from 1 species